UCUGCUGGUGUAAUUAAAGUGAAAACCAAUUAGAUAGCCCAAGUACCGUGGAGAGUUGGAGAACUUCCCAGCUGAUAUCGCUAAAUAGCAGCUCCUCCUGCUCUUUGGGGUUGCGAGAGAAGGGGGAUACCUGAGAGCACAUACACUCGAACUCGCCUCGAGCAACUCCCGGGACAACCAUGCCUAAGGUCUUCCAAACAAAGCGUCGCUGGAAGCCAUCCUGGAUUGACGGGACAUCUCCCCCGUUUGAGUGAUGGGUCCCUCCCUUCCCCCGCCUGGUUAUCAACAAACAUGGAAAGUGCCCUUCUCUCUAAACAAUCCGGAGCAGUGUGGUGGAGUGGGACACACACACACACGGGUCAGGAAGUUUCCUUCCCCUAAAGCCUGGGACUCCCAGCCUAAUGAGCUCCAUUAAGCGUAUUAUGGAUGUACAAGUUUGCUGUGAGGUCCUGGCUGGAGGGAAAGGUUCCUGUUGCAGUUCCAAGCGCUCUGAUCUGCACCACCUGGCUGAAACCAGAGAGCCGCCGCUGCCUUAAUGGGUUUAGCCUGGGCUAAUUGGUGUUUUAGGAGAGUUGCCAAAUUAUACUGCAAGGUCUGUGGAGGGAGACUUUCCCCGCUUUUCAUUGAGGGGACUUGCACCCGAAGCACUGAGCGAUUCCACGGGUACAAACAUACAGGGGCGCGCAGUGAGUGGUCUUAAAGGCAACGUGAUAGUUUGGAGGCCAACGGCUACUGGUGCCAAGACCCUCAAGCUGGCCUUUGUCAAUGUGAGCGUGCUCCAAUUAGGUGCCCUCUGCCUUCCUAUGCGUGUGAUUCCCGCUUUCCCAUCCGUGCCCGUUUCUCCGCAGCUGGCCCAGGCUUUGGGUGACGCCUGACCUGGGCUCUGCACGCUGCCAGCUCACUUUUUAUUGAAACGAACAAAAUGGAUAGUACUGUAAAGCCUCCAGUUCGUGCAAAGCCCCCGUCUAGCCAAAUCAACGGAUGGAGCAGUAAUAUCCUUAAAGAACUUCAGCAAGUUGCUAAUCUGAACUCAUCAUGACUGAAACUAUGUUGGCCUUACUUGGACAACUUUUCAGAGUUCCACAUCAACAGAGGAUCAAGUUCAAUGCAAAUCGAAAAAAAGGGAAAAGUGAAGAGAAUGAGAGAAGUGAUACAAAGGGAUUUUCCAACACUGUCAAUAAAUUUACCACAAUAGUUACUUCCCCC